CCAGGCCCGCCUGCGGGAGAGGCAGAGCUAAAAACAGAUCCAGCCUCGGCGAGGGGCCGUGCGCAUCUAAUCGCUGGGCUUUCUCCUCGCCCUCCCCACCGACUCCGCUGCGGAGGCAGGCGGCGUGGAGAGCAAAGGCGCGCUUUGAUUUGGAGAGCAGGCGAAAGAGAAGGCCGUUUGCAGGUCCACCCUGAAUGCAUAAGUACUGAAACCUAGGUUCUGCUUUCACAUCUCGCCGGAAGACUCCUCCCGGACAGAGAGGACAGCAAAGAGCGCAGGGAACUUCUCCAGCCUGACCAAGGAAAGGGCUGGCUGAGGGGAGACAGUCAGCAAAGAUGGCCCCGGUUCUCUGCCUCUCCUGUGACUAUGCGCAUUGCAAUGUGACUUGGCAGCUCCUCUCAUCUUGAGACAGUGUCUGUUUCCCCAUCCCUGAUUCUGGGCUGCUUUUGUGCCUCACUCUGCUCAAAAGAAUGCCAGGAAGUGAUGUGUCAAACUCAGGCCUCAAAAGGCUUGUGGCUUCUGCUUUGGAACCCUGCCAUUGGCAUUUGACAGCCUCCCUUCACCGGAGACAUGGGUCUCAGUCGCCCCUGUGACCCUGAGCCACAGCGGUCCAACCAUCACCCCUAAUGAGGCCGCCGUAGCUCAGUCUACCUCAAGCCAACCUGGCGGCAGGCUGCAGACAAGUACGUGCACCCAGCCAAGACCAGAAGUGCCCGAGGGCCCCACAGUGCUGACUGCAGAAUCAUGAGCUUAGUAAAUGUUGUUGCUUCAGGCACCAGGUUUUGGGGUGGCUUGUUACACACUGAAAGCUGACUGACACGAGGCUCAUCUGUUUGCCUGGAGCUGAGAAGCCACCGGAAAGGUGGUCACAGCCCAAACAACCCUGGUGCCCCCAGACCUGCCCGAGUCCAGGCUGCUAAAUCAGGGAUAUUUCUGGACACCUAGUUUUGCCCAUAGCCUAGUGUUUGUUUCUUUGCAUCCCCUACUGGAUCUAACGUUAAAGAAGGAAAAUACCACACACCGGGAGGCAGAGAACAGAGGCAAUGAUCUAUCGGCAGAUUCGGUGAGGAGAGCACAUGAUGCCGGAAAAUGGAAACCAAGAUGAAAGCUGAAAACAGGGCUUUAGGUCCCCAAGUCCAAGAAUGGCCUAGUGGGCCACCUCGAGGAGCCACAGGAAAAGCCUGCCUGCUCUCCAGGAAAGAAAUACCCCAAAGCUUACACGGUAAGAAUAGGCCCGGAGUCCAGCCCUCAGCCACACGCCAUGUAUCCAUCCUCCCACUCAGUCUCCAUCCUGUGCGCAUGGGCUGGGUGCCAGGGUGUCUUCCUAGAACACAAGCCCCAGCAGCAGAAGCACACAGGACCACUCGGGCUGGUGGAGGGCGGCCCAGGAGGGAGACAGAGACUUCCCAUGGAGACGGUGCCUGAGCUGGGGUGCAGAGGUCUGUGAGCGCACCAGCGGGCAGUGAGGGGACGGACGGAAUAGCUUGUGCACCCGCAUGGUAGGGCAGACGAGCUCAGUGCUCCAGAAUGGCGAGUUCUUACAGCAGACAGUGGGAGCACUCCUGGGCAGAAGCAGGAGGCCACAGUGGGAAGGACGUUUCGUACAAGCAUCAUCACAGAUUGGACACCCAGUGAUAUGGGUGGUGAAGAGUGACAGUAAGCGGGCCCCACGCACGCCCUGUUCAGCCCCAUCCCGGGGCCCUAAGAGGAUGUGGACCUGGAUGCAGUGGUGUGACCACACGGUAGGAGUCAGGUAACUAAUUCCUUGGGGCAAACCCGACCCUGAGGAAGACAUCUUUGGAAAACAGAAGCACCAACAUUAUGGCUUCUCAAGUGCUUCCCACUGGGCUCGUCGGCCUCCCAACCCAAUACUGUGAGCACCCACCUUCAGGAUUGAAAGCGGAGAGGAGGGGGAGAGAAGUUGCUGGAAACCUCAUCAGAGGUCAUCUUGCCUCUGAUUCUAACCAUUCUUAUCUCAUCUUUUGACACUCCGUUUGGCCAUCACCAGACUUCUUGGUGCCUGAAACAAAGCUCAGAAAUCCUGAACUCGACCCACACAUGACGUCCAACAGGCUUGCUCUGCUUGCCUUCUCCACCUUGACCUCUGCUCCGGGGCUUCUGUCUGCAAGGGCUGAGGCCUGCUUUCUCAGGAGGCUCUAAGAUUAGCUAGGAAGGAAGAUCCCACCCACCCUAAGGCAAUAGCAGCUCCUGGAGAGAUAAAAAACUUAGAGAAAAAUCUGGAAGCCUUCUGCCCCACUCCCCAAGUUCUUUUUAACAUUAUACUUGCUUGAGAUUAAUAAUGCCAUACCCCAGUUGCCCGUUCCUUGUUUGAGAAGGUUUGCCCCGACUCAGCAUCAUUCCCUACAAGCUCCAUGACUCAGUUCAGCUCCAGACCUUGAAAACAAGCCCCGAACUAGUGAUGUGCAAGUCAGCCACUUGCCAGGCCUGAAAUGCAGGGCUUGGGGGACUCCUGGAUGGAGGGGGACCCACAGCGGAGACAGGGCUCCUGGAGGCCUGUUAGAGCUGCACCAGCGUGGGAGGAUGAUGAGGAUGCCCUGAUUUCUGUCACCACGGCCAGCCUUGGUGAGGAACACAGUAAAUGGUCCCAUCCAUCCAGUCUGAUCUCCCCCUUUGCACAUUCCAGACCCUCUGCCCAGCACCCCCUCUCUGCUUGAAAAUCUCUCCUGUCAAGAUGCAGCUCAGGGGUCACCUCCUCUGAGAAGCUGUCUUUCCUCCCCCAGAUGCAGUUACCUGGCCCCUCCUUUGCAUUCUCGUGCCACACAGCCUCCUCUACAGGACUCAACACCAUUUAUGAGACUGGCUUUUACCGCCUCCGCUCAAGGCUGUAGACUCCUUCCUACAGCGCCCAAGACUUACUCAACUGACUCAUUGAUGUGUCCCUGAGAUUUGUCAGGGAGUCUUGCCCUUAGUAG